AUUGAACGCUGGCGGCAGGCCUAACACAUGCAAGUAGAGCGAGGGGAGGACGGGUGAGUAAUGUAUGGGGAUCUGCCCGAGAGAGGGGGAUACCUACUGAAAACGGUGGCUAAUACCGCAUACCUUCGGAUGAAUCCAGAUGGGAUUAGCUAGUAGGUGGGGGAAAGGCUAACCUAGGCCAAGAGCUCUAGCUGGUCUGAGAGGAUGAUCAGCCACACUGGGACUGAGACACGGCCCAGACUCCUACGUGAGGCAGCAGUGGGGAAUAUUGCACAAUGGGCGCAAGCCUGAUGCAGCCAUGCCGCGUGUAGGAAGAAGGCCUUAGGGUUGUAAAGUACUUUCAGCGGGGAGGCGUUACCCGCAGAAUAAGCACCGGCUAACUCCGUGCCAGCAGCCGCGGUAAUUC
rnacentral:rRNA from 1 species